CGCGGCCUAUCAGCUUGUUGGUGGGGUAACGGCCUACCAAGGCGAAGACGGGUAACCGGCCUUAGAGGGUAGUCGGUCACACUGGAACUGAGACACUGUCCAGACUUCUACGGAAGGCUGCAGUCGAGAAUCUUUCGCAAUGCCCGAAAGGGUGACGAAGCGACGCCGCGUGGAUGAAGAAGGCCUUCGGGUUGUAAAAUCCUGUCAGGAGUUAAGAAAUGUAGGUGCGAUAAUACCGUGCCUAUUUGACAAAGGCUCCAAAGGAAGCCACGGCUAACUCUGUGCCAGCAGCCGCGGUAAUACAGAGGUGGCAAGCGUUGUUCGGAAUUAUUGGGCGUAAAGAGCACGUAGGUGGAUUUGUUAGUCAGAUGUGAAAGCCUUUCGUUCAACGGAAGAAUUGCAUCUGAAACUACAAACCUUGAGUAUAGGAGGGGAGAGUGGAACUUCUGGUGGAGCGGUGAAAUGCGUAGAUAUCAGAAGGAACGCCGGCGGCGAAAGCGACUCUCUGGCCUAUAACUGACACUGAGUGUGCGAAAGCUAGGGGAGCAAACGGGAUUAGAUACCCCGGUAGUCCUAGCCGUAAACGAUGGGCACUAAGUAGGGGGAACUACCGAUAUUCUCUCUGCCGUAGCAAACGCAUUAAGUGCCCCGCCUGGGGAGUACGG
rnacentral:rRNA from 1 species